UUUGUCUUCUUCUCAUUGUCUGUCGCUAGUAGAGGCCUAAGCAUGCCAGGCAGGUUCCCCCAGAAGUAUCUUGCUGGAUGAGCAGCCAAUACCGCACUUGCAUCAAUUUUGACAGGAUUCAGCUCCAGGUGGAUAGGAAAUGAUUUUUUGGGAU